rnacentral:rRNA from 1 species
AUGGCCCUGUUUGAGGAGUUCUUUGUAGGGUCCAUCGAUCUCACCCGGCUGAACUUUGGGAUAAUCACCCUCAUCCCCAAAGUGAUUGGGGCUUCGGAUAUCCGCCAAUUCCGGCCGAUUACGGUGAUUAAUGUCAUCUUCUGCAUCCUUGCGAAGGGGUACGCCAUUAGGGUGGCCCCCAUGCAUUGCCGACCGGAUCACUCACCCUGA